GUUUACUCAUUUGCUUAGUUUGCUGACGAAGCAUAUAUAUGGGGACCCUGAGGCUGCUGAUGUUGUGUUUACGUGGGGGGCAAAUAUUGAUGUUGUAGGCAUCAACAUUACAACACAAGUCCAAUUGAAAGAUGCUGAUCUUGAAGAACUAAAGCAAUCCGAAGGAAAACACGCUAAGUUUGUGUGUGAUAUGUGAAAAUUUUACCGUGAUUGGCACGUGAAAUUCAGUCGGUGUCUAUGGUAAUAUAUAUGUUCUUAUAUUGUUUUUGGAUGACUGACAAUGCUUCUUAAACCACUUUCUUGCUAUCUCGUGAUCAUCUCUUAUCAAUUGGCGAUCAAACUCUUCAAAAAAGUAUGUUACUAUGUGUUUGAUGUAUAAAUUGUUGGUUUUUUUGUCGAAUAUUCAUUUUUUCUUUUUAUGGGUAUGGUGAUUUGUUAUACGAUCACAUUUUCUUUUCUCCGUUCCAAAUGAUCAUGGAGUUCUACUUCACAUGCAAAUGUGGAAAACAGAGUGGACAUCAACACACCUCUGGAGGAUGAAGAACA